GGGGAUAAGCGGCGGAAACGCCGUCUAAUACCGCGUGACAACCCGAGGGGGCAUCCCCUUGGGUUCAAAGGAGAGAUCCGGUACCGGCUGGGCAUGCGGCGCAUUAGCUAGUUGGCGGGGCAACGGCCCACCAAGGCGACGAUGCGUAGGGGUUCUGAGAGGAAGGUCCCCCACACUGGAACUGAGACACGGUCCAGACUCCUACGGGAGGCGGCAGUGAGGAAUAUUGGUCAAUGGGCGCAAGCCUGAACCAGCCAAGUCGCGUGAGGGAAGACGGCCCUACGGGUUGUAGACCUCUUUUGCCGGGGAGCAAGCCUGAGCACGUGUGCCCAGGCGGAGAGUACCCGGAGAAAAAGCAUCGGCUAACUCCGUGCCAGCAGCCGCGGUAAUACGGAGGAUGCGAGCGUUAUCCGGAUUUAUUGGGUUUAAAGGGUGCGCAGGCGGGCUGUUAAGCCGGCGGUAAAAAUUCAGGGCUCAACCCUGUCGAGCCGUCGGAACUGGCAGUCUUGAGUGGGCGAGAAGUAUGCGGAAUGCGUGGUGUAGCGGUGAAAUGCAUAGAUAUCACGCAGAACGCCGAUUGCGAAGGCAGCAUACCGGCGCCCAACUGACGCUGAGGCACGAAAGCGUGGGGAUCGAACAGGAUUAGAUACCCUGGUAGUCCACGCAGUAAACG
rnacentral:rRNA from 1 species